rnacentral:rRNA from 1 species
UACGGGGGGGGCAAGCGUUGUUCGGAAUUACUGGGCGUAAAGGGCUCGUAGGCGGCCAACUAAGUCGGAUGUGAAAUCCCCAGGCUUAACCUGGGAACUGCAUCCGAUACUGGAUGGCUUGAAUCCGGGAGAGGGAUGCAGAAUUCCAGGUGUAGCGGUGAAAUGCGUAGAUAUCUGGAGGAAUGCCGGUGGCGAAGGCGGCAUCCUGGACCGGCAUUGACGCUGAGUGAGCGAAAGCCAGGGGAGCAAACGGG